UUUCCUUCCCUCUCCUUAAAUUUUUAUGCCAAAAUCAUUGUCCUUGUAAUGUCUUCCCUUCUCGAUCUCUUCACGCUAUGGAAACCCUAAGCAUCUCCGUCCCCCGCGGCUACUUCUCAUUGAACAUUCCACAGCCACUCCCCUGCGACAACUCUGUCGGAGGAUGCCGCACCUCUAGCUUUGUCGCCUCUGUGGAAUCUGGUGGAGUCAACAUAUGAGAGGUCUGUCUCUUCCACAACGUGUUCAAUGGAGAUGCUCUCUCGGCCGGAGAAGGAGAAGGGAUCCUCUCAACAUAGAUCCAUCUCGUCUGCAUUUGAAUCUGGGUAUCAGUUAGGGGAGGCGCUAUCCCCAGCGGAUGUGAAGCAGAUCAAUGCAUUUCUUAGUGGGUAGAGGAAAAUGAUUGGGAGGAUCUCUCAUGGAGAAGUCCUAUCCAAGACCAAGAUCAUCCUCUCCAGAUCGUCAAAUGAUUUAUGUACGAUGAGUGCGAUGGUGGCGACUAUAUGUUAUGCAUGGUUACUGCAGAAUAGAGAGGAGGAAGAUGUGGUUGUGAUGUCAGUGGUGAACAUUGAGAGAGGGAGGAUGAACAAGCAUGAAGAAGUUACUUGACUUUUUUUCCAUGUUGGCAUUGAUAUUUCGACACUGCUCUUUACCGACGAGGCAACUCUCAUCAAGUUUUACUUUCUAGAUCUACUCUUUCUUUACAACAUUACAUGUGUGCUUGAGUGCUUCCAAAUAUCGCAUAUCAUGUCUGUUGGUGCCAAUCUUCAUUUCGUAGCCUCCAUGGCUGCAUGAUGCAUAAGGUCGAUAUCUGCUUUGUGAUCAACACUAAAGUGAUAUGCUUGAGGCCUCACUACUCUUUUGUAUGCUUGUAUUUGCAGCGACAGUCAAAGUUUUUGAUUCAUGAUAUUCACUAUUAUACCUUUAUAUCCAAAGAAAAUUACAUUAAUAUCUUAUGCUAAGGAUGUUUAAUGUAAUUUAAACUUUUGUAAUUUAUUGUUGGUAAUCAUUCGUGUUCAUUUCUCAUGACUAUUUACUUGUUUCAUGUGUUGGUAAUCUUGUGAUGAACAAACAAUUAAGUAUGCUUGUUAUUGGACAAGGUGUGCUUAAAACUAAGAAUGAGGUGAUCGAUCAGUAUUUGAAAAUUUGAGAACAGAACCAUUUGUUUAUAAAAUUCUCAUACAUUCUCUCUUGCAUAGGUGGGUUCACUGUGCACAAUUCUCACAAAUAAUUACUGUGAAGAAACCCAUGAUCUAUUUCAGAAUCCUAAGUUGAAAAAUCUAUUGCUUGCAGGUAUUCUCUUGGAUACACAUAAUCUUAAUGUCACAUCUUCUUUUGUUACAAGGAGAGAUGCCGAGGCAAUAUUAUUGCUUUCAGUUGGUUCUUCUCCCGACUACAAAUAUGAAUUGUUUGAGCAAUCUUGAAUUAUGGUGUCAUUGUUUGUUUCUUCCUUAAAAUUGUCCCCUGAAAGUUUAAUUUUUGUUUACUUUUGUUGGAUGUUUUCUUCAGGCUUACUACUUCUCCAAGCUAAAUUAGUCUGAACAUGUUUUAAUCUCAAAUAUUAA